UACAGAGGGGGCAAGCGUUGUUCGGAAUUACUGGGCGUAAAGGGCGCGUAGGCGGCCUGUUAAGUCGGACGUGAAAUCCCUCGGCUCAACCGAGGAACUGCGUCCGAUACUGGCAGGCUGGAAUCCGGGAGAGGGAUGUGGAAUUCCAGGUGUAGCGGUGAAAUGCGUAGAUAUCUGGAGGAACACCGGUGGCGAAGGCGGCAUCCUGGACCGGUAUUGACGCUGAGGCGCGAAAGCU
rnacentral:rRNA from 1 species